GACUUGCACAAACUUUGAGUGUGCCAGGUGUUCUGGGAUGUACUUGGUCCUAUAUACGUUGCCCGUCCAUCAAGUGCAGGCGAGUGGCUACAGAUUGCAAAAGAGUUUGAGGAACGUUGAACAUGCCACACUGUGUUGGUGAAAUUGAUGGAAAG